GCCGAAGUGGCGGAAUUGGUAGACGCACACGUUUCAGGGGCGUGCGAGGGUAACCUUGUACGAGUUCGACUCUCGUCUUCGGCA
rnacentral:tRNA from 2 species